UACGGAGGGUGCAAGCGUUAUCCGGAAUUACUGGGUUUAAAGGGUGCGUAGGCGGUUAAGUAAGUCAGAGGUGAAAUGUUAUCGCUCAACGAUAAAAUUGCCUUUGAUACUGCUUAACUUGAAUCAGAAUGAGGUUGGCGGAAUGUGACAUGUAGCGGUGAAAUGCAUAGAUAUGUCAUGGAACACCGAUUGCGAAGGCAGCUGACUGGCACUUGAUUGACGCUGAGGCACGAAAGCGUGGGGAGCGAACAGG
rnacentral:rRNA from 2 species